rnacentral:lncRNA from 1 species
GCACAACAUCCAGCUCCUGGACACUUCAGACUGUAAUUUGGAAACAUGCACAUGUCUGGCUCCAGGACCAUGGGACUUUCUAUCUCCUCUGGGGAACAGAAAUGUGAACAGUGAGAAGGACACAGCAUCUAGGACUGUUGGUGUUUUCUGGUCGUGUAGAAGAACUUUCUGGUCCCCAGACUUGGUGACCUAAAUCCAGUGAAACUCAAGGAGACACUACUCAGGAGGACUUUUUUUUUUAUCUGACUCUGGUAAGC